GAGUUUGAUCCUGGCUCAGGAUGAACGCUGGCGGCGUGCCUAAUACAUGCAAGUCGAGCGAAUGGAUUAAGAGCUUGCUCUUAUGAAGUUAGCGGCGGACGGGUGAGUAACACGUGGGUAACCUGCCCAUAAGACUGGGAUAACUCCGGGAAACCGGGGCUAAUACCGGAUAACAUUUUGAACUGCAUGGUUCGAAAUUGAAAGGCGGCUUCGGCUGUCACUUAUGGAUGGACCCGCGUCGCAUUAGCUAGUUGGGGAGGUAACGGCUCACCAAGGCAACGAUGCGUAGCCGACCUGAGAGGGUGAUCGGCCACACUGGGACUGAGACACGGCCCAGAUCCUACGGGAGGCAGCAGUAGGGAAUCUUCCGCAAUGGACGAAAGUCUGACGGAGCAACGCCGCGUGAGUGAUGAAGGCUUUCGGGUCGUAAAACUCUGUUGUUAGGGAAGAACAAGUGCUAGUUGAAUAAGCUGGCACCUUGACGGUACCUAACCAGAAAGCCACGGCUAACUACGUGCCAGCAGCCGCGGUAAUACGUAGGUGGCAAGCGUUAUCCGGAAUUAUUGGGCGUAAAGCGCGCGCAGGUGGUUUCUUAAGUCUGAUGUGAAAGCCCACGGCUCAACCGUGGAGGGUCAUUGGAAACUGGGAGACUUGAGUGCAGAAGAGGAAGUGGAAUUCCAUGUGUAGCGGUGAAAUGCGUAAAGAUAUGGAGGAACACCAGUGGCGAAGGCGACUUUCUGGUCUGUAACUGACACUGAGGCCCGAAAACGUGGGGAGCAAACAGGAUUAAAUACCCUGGUAGUCCACCCCGUAAACGAGGAAUGCUAAGUGUUAAAGGGUUUCCCCCCUUUAGUGCUGAAGUUAACCCAUUAAGCACUCCCCCUGGGGAGUACGGCCGCAAGGCUGAAACUCAAAGGAAUUGACGGGGGCCCGCACAAGCGGUGGAGCAUGUGGUUUAAUUCGAAGCAACGCGAAGAACCUUACCAGGUCUUGACAUCCUCUGAAAACCCUAGAGAUAG
rnacentral:rRNA from 3 species